rnacentral:rRNA from 1 species
AAACCUACGGGGCGCAGCAGUGGGGGAUAUUGCACAAUGGGGGGAACCCUGAUGCAGCGACGCCGCGUGAGCGAUGAAGUAUUUCGGUAUGUAAAGCUCUAUCAGCAGGGAAGAAAAUGACGGUACCUGACUAAGAAGCCCCGGCUAACUACGUGCCAGCAGCCGCGGUAAUACGUAGGGGGCAAGCGUUAUCCGGAUUUACUGGGUGUAAAGGGAGCGUAGACGGUUCUGCAAGUCUGAAGUGAAAGCCCGUGGCUUAAC